rnacentral:rRNA from 1 species
CCUACGGGAGGCAGCAGUGGGGAAUUUUGGACAAUGGGCGCAAGCCUGAUCCAGCCAUGCCGCGUGUCUGAAGAAGGCCUUCGGGUUGUAAAGGACUUUUGUCAGGGAAGAAAGGGAGCAUGUUAAUACCGUGCUCUGAUGACGGUACCUGAAGAAUAAGCACCGGCUAACUACGUGCCAGCAGCCGCGGUAAUACGUAGGGUGCGAGCGUUAAUCGGAAUUACUGGGCGUAAAGCGGGCGCAGACGGUUACUUAAGCGGGAUGUGAAAUCCCCGGGCUCAACCCGGGAACUGCGUUCCGAACUGGGUGGCUAGAGUGUGUCAGAGGGGGGUAGAAUUCCACGUGUAGCAGUGAAAUGCGUAGAGAUGUGGAGGAAUACCGAUGGCGAAGGCAGCCCCCUGGGAUAACACUGACGUUCAUGCCCGAAAGCGUGGGUAGCAAACAGGAUUAGAUACCCCUGUAGUC